GUGAGGAAUAUUGCGCAAUGGAGGCAACUCUGACGCAGCCAUGCCGCGUGCAGGAAGAAGGCGCUACGCGUUGUAAACUGCUUUUAACCGGGAAGAAACCCCAGGACGUGUCCUGGGUUGACGGUACCGGAGGAAUAAGCACCGGCUAACUUCGUGCCAGCAGCCGCGGUAAUACGAAGGGUGCAAGCGUUAUCCGGAUUCAUUGGGUUGAAAGGGUGCGUAGGCGGAGCGUUAAGUCAGUGGUGAAAUCCUGCAGCUUAACUGUAGACUUGCCAUUGAUACUGGCGCUCUUGAGUGCGCUUGAAGUGGGCGGAAUGUGCCGUGUAGCGGUGAAAUGCUUAGAUAUGGCACAGAACACCAAUUGCGAAGGCAGCUCACUAAGGCGAUACUGACGCUGAGGCACGAAAGCGUGGGGAUCGAACAGGAUUAGAAACCCGGUAGUCC
rnacentral:rRNA from 1 species